AUACGGAGGGUGCAAGCGUUAAUCGGAAUUACUGGGCGUAAAGGGUACGUAGGCGGUUAGAUAAGUUGGAUGUGAAAGCCCUGGGCUCAACCUAGGAACUGCAUUCAAAACUGUCUAACUAGAGUGUAUAAGAGGUUAGCGGAAUUCCAGGUGUAGCAGUGAAAUGCGUAGAUAUCUGGAGGAACAUCAGUGGCGAAGGCGGCUAACUGGUAUAACACUGACGCUGAGGUACGAAAGCGUGGGGAGCGAACGGGAUUAGAAACCCGUGUAGUCC
rnacentral:rRNA from 1 species